GAGAGUGGGUAGUCCGCACGAGCGCACCCUGUCCUUAGUUGCCAGCACAUAAUGGUGGGGACUCUAAGGAGACUGCCUGGGAUAACCAGGAGGAAGGUGGGGAUGAUGUCAAGUCAGUAUGUCCCUUAUGUCCAGGGNCUACACACGUGUUACAAUGGCCGGUACAAUGGGCUGCAAACCUGCGAGGGUAAGCCAAUCCCAAAAAACCGGCCCCAGUUCAGAUUGGAGUCUGCAACUCGACUCCAUGAAGGCGGAAUCGCUAGUAAUCGCGGAUCAGCACGCCGCGGUGAAUACGUUCCCGGGUCUUGUACACACCGCCCGUCAAGCCAUGGAAGUCGGCAGUACCCGAAGCCGGUGUCCCAACUCUUCGGAGAGGGAGCCGUCGAAGGUAAGGCUGGUAACUAGGGCUAAGUCGUAACAAGGUAGCCGUACCGGAAGGUGCGGCUGGAUCACCUCCUUUCU
rnacentral:rRNA from 1 species